AGGCUUAACACAUGCAAGUCGAGGGGCAGCGCGGGGCGGCAACGUCCUGGCGGCGACCGGCGGAAGGGUGCGUAACGCGUGAGCGACAUGCCCGUUGCCCGGGGACAACCGGUGGAAACGCCGACUAAUCCCCGAUGGGACGGAGGCCCUCAUGGGUCUCUGUUGAAAGUUACGGCGGCGACGGAUUGGCUCGCGUCCGAUUAGCUAGUUGGCGGGGUAACGGCCCACCAAGGCUACGAUCGGUAGGGGUUCUGAGAGGAAGGUCCCCCACAAUGGAACUGAGACACGGUCCAUACUCC
rnacentral:rRNA from 1 species